GUGUCAGCAGCCGCGGUAAUACGUAGGGUGCGAGCGUUAAUCGGAAUUACUGGGCGUAAAGCGUGCGCAGGCGGCAUGAUAAGUCAGAUGUGAAAUCCCCGAGCUCAACUUGGGAACUGCGUUUGAAACUAUCAAGCUAGAAUAUGUCAGAGGGGGGUAGAAUUCCACGUGUAGCAGUGAAAUGCGUAGAGAUGUGGAGGAAUACCAAUGGCGAAGGCAGCCCCCUGGGAUAAUAUUGACGCUCAUGCACGAAAGCGUGGGGAGCAAACAGGAUUAGAAACCCCAGUAGUCC
rnacentral:rRNA from 1 species